rnacentral:lncRNA from 1 species
UAUUUCUCAUAUAUAUAAAACUCUUGGCUUAUUUUUCUGAAUUAAUCUCAAAGAUCUGCUUCUAUAUAUUUAAAUGGUGAUAAUAUCUGACUCUUUACCUUUCUUAUCAUAUAUAAACAAUCUAAUUGAGUUUUCAUUGAAAGUCUCAUCUAUAUUGGAAAAAAAUUAUACAAUUUCUCUCCAUUAACAAUAUAAUUGAAUUUCCUUUAAAGUCUCCUCAUCUCCAUUGAAAAAAAAAAUAUAUGAUUUCUCUACAAAUAUCUUUGCUGAUGGCAGCUAACAAUAGAUGAUCA